GAAAAACUCUCCACUCUCUGCCUGCCUAGGACGCAAGUGCAGGGUGCCAAGCGGAGAGCCUGGAUCAUAUUUCACAUGUGCCGGUCCCAAAGGAAUUCCUUAACUCUCCCUUCCUGGAACCGAAAUGCUUCCAAAGGCAGAGAGCUCCUAUAUAUAUUUCUCUGUUUUCCCCGGAGGACCGUGCAUGAAAGGCGCCUUUUUGGCGCGUGUGUCUCUGACCCUGUGGAUCUUCUGGACAAUUCCCGGAAUUUCUUGCAGGGCAGCACUUCCCCUUAAGUCGUCUCUUUCUCGUUUGGAUAGUCAGUAUUUGUAUAGUCACUAUUCUCUUUUGGUUAGCCGUCUAAUUUUAUACUGCCAGUCAAGCUCUACUCCCUUCCCCCUAGAGUUUGAAUUUAUUUUUUUUCAAACGCUACACAAACCCAAAUAAACUCAACCAAAGCGGACUUUACCUACCUUCCUACCUACCUACCAAGAAAAUAUCCCACAAAGGAGAGAACGGAGAAGCUUGCAAUACAGGAAGAAAAAAAAAGAAUUACAGAAUGGAAGGGAUGUGUGCUCUAAAAAUGCAGUGCUGCUGCUACCUACCAUAAUGUGUUUGUUGCAAGAUCCACAAGAACGUGGAUGCCAAGAAUCCACAAAAAAAAACAGAUGCAACCGUUGAUGAGGCCAUAAACAGAAACACAAAUAUUGUAAGUUGUCUUAUGGAGGAUGACUCAGGGAGGACGGUGAAUGGGUUGACUCAAUCCAGAAAAGGAAGAGGAAAAUAAAAAGACAUAACGACCAAUCUGUGAAAACGCUCAGUGGCUUAAAAGACACUAUUAAGAGAUGAGACUAUUUGAUUCUUUAUUUAACUCCUUUCCAAGGAAAUGUUUUUGAAAAUCCAUACGGUUUACAUAUUAAAGAGGAUCAAUCUGAUAAUAGGUGAUUUUUUUGAAAAAAAUGAAAGGAAAAUUUAAAAAUAAAAGGGACAGAAUAAUACUUUGUAUACUUCCACUUCUAGUAAUAAUAAAAUGAGUGAUUUGGAACAAACAUGUAGCAGAGGAAAGGUGAGCAAACUUUUUAAAUGUCAAAAGACAUCAAAAGACAAGAUAAUGGAGAAAUGGUGGGCCAAAAUUCAGAAACAGUUGGGAGAGUCAUGCAUUUGGGGCUAAUUUUCUCCUGGGGAUGAUGGUCUAGUCUAGGAUCUGAAAAGCCUAGAAUCUCUGCAGCACUUUUGACACCUAUAUGAAGCUGGGGGAAAGAAAGAUUCUAGCAAAAAUUAAAAUGCACAUCUUUUCAAGAGCACAUAAGAUUUGUACAAAUGAGUAAAAUGAUAUGGGAUUUCAAAAUACUGAAAUACUAUGUUUUCGAAUACAGUGAAAUUUGGCUAGAAAUCAAUAAAAAUACAACUAAAUGAUUCAUGUGUGCAUUUAAUAAAUAUUGUCUCAUCUCCAAACCCACCAUUCUUCACGCCGCUUUAUGGGGCUGGAAUGGGGGAGUCUGCAGCCAAUCUUUCCCGACCUCUACACCCCCAAUCUGGUUCUGUGUUCGGCAACUAUUAGCAGAAGAGUAUAGGGGUGGUGGGGGCAGGGAGAUAUACUGUAUCCUGUGCCUGCCAGCCAGCAGUACUUUUUCUUGUAGCAACUGCCUAAUUUUCAGUUUUUCUAACACUUGAAUACCUAUUUCAUCAUGGCUCUUUAUAAACAUUAUUAAACAACUUCCCAAAGACUGAUCCUUAGAUGUCUAAGUGCUAAAACUGCAGGGCCCUGUUUCUGAGCUCAGAGACAGCAGAGCCAGCUGAACACUGGCCUCUCCUUAGAGGUCUGAGUUUCAGGUGAGCAUGACCUUCCUCCAAGCUUCUAAGUUUUAGUAAUUCCUGUCUCUUCACUUUGUUUCCUCAGACCUCAGGUGGUUGCUGCUUGCUGCAGUU
rnacentral:lncRNA from 10 species